rnacentral:rRNA from 2 species
UAAUACAUGCAAGUCGUACGCACUGGCCCAACUGAUUGAUGGUGCUUGCACCUGAUUGACGAUGGAUCACCAGUGAGUGGCGGACGGGUGAGUAACACGUAGGUAACCUGCCCCGGAGCGGGGGAUAACAUUUGGAAACAGAUGCUAAUACCGCAUAACAACAAAAGCCACAUGGCUUUUGUUUGAAAGAUGGCUUUGGCUAUCACUCUGGGAUGGACCUGCGGUGCAUUAGCUAGUUGGUAAGGUAACGGCUUACCAAGGCGAUGAUGCAUAGCCGAGUUGAGAGACUGAUCGGCCACAAUGGAACUGAGACACGGUCCAUACUCCUACGGGAGGCAGCAGUAGGGAAUCUUCCACAAUGGGCGCAAGCCUGAUGGAGCAACACCGCGUGAGUGAAGAAGGGUUUCGGCUCGUAAAGCUCUGUUGUUGGAGAAGAACGUGCGUGAGAGUAACUGUUCACGCAGUGACGGUAUCCAACCAGAAAGUCACGGCUAACUACUUGCCAGCAGCCGCGGUAAUAC